rnacentral:rRNA from 1 species
UACAGAGACUGCAAGCGUUAUUCGGAUUCACUGGGCGUAAAGGGUGCGCAGGCGGCCAAGUGUGUGAGGCGUGAAAGCCUGGAGCUUAACUCCAGAAUUGCACCUCAAACUACAUGGCUAGAGCAUUGGAGAGGGUAGCGGAAUUCACGGUGUAGCAGUGAAAUGCGUAGAUAUCGGAAGGAACACCAGUGGCGAAAGCGACUUCCUGGUCCAAUACUGACGUUCAUGUGCGAAAGCGUGGGGAGCAAACAGG